UAUAAAACUCGGCUGUCUGUAGUCUUCUCAGGGCUGCAGUAAACACAGCCACUCGUUUCAUUCGGACCGAAUGCAAUGAUUGGCUGGGUGACUGUCACUCUCCCUCGCUACCAUGGCUACCAGCCGUGCUGCUACCGGGGCUGCCCCCGUGCGCGCACCCGGUCAGCUCUCUCAGACCUGACGAGCGAAGCGAUCAGACCGGAGGUAAUAUCUGCGUGGCUUUUCAACGAUAGUGACUGACAACUGAGGAACACCAAGGGGCUGAAAAGUUGCAACGUGGUGGCUUUAUUUCUGCUGGACAGGUCACCUGCAGUCUUCCAACACCCUGUGCUUCUAACCAGUACACUGAUCGGACCACGCUGGCUGGCCUGGAUUACAACCACCGUGUCCACAGACCAGCCAGGAGAAAAGCUGAUGACACAGUUCAGUACAGCAAGGUGUACAACAAAGUCCAGGAAGUGGAGCUUGUACUCAUUGAAGGUGGA